UACCAGACUCCUACGGGAGGCAGCAGUGGGGAAUAUUGCACAAUGGGGGGAACCCUGAUGCAGCGACGCCGCGUGGGUGAAGGAGUAUUUCGGUAUGUAAAGCCCUAUCAGCAGGGAAGAACAAUGACGGUACCUGAGUAAGAAGCACCGGCUAAAUACGUGCCAGCAGCCGCGGUAAUACGUAUGGUGCAAGCGUUAUCCGGAUUUACUGGGUGUAAAGGGAGCGCAGGCGGCACGGCAAGCCUGAUGUGAAAGCCCGCGGCCCAACCGCGGGACUGCAUUGGGAACUACCGGGCUGGAGUGCCGGAGAGGUAGGCGGAAUUCCUAGUGUAGCGGUGAAAUGCGUAGAUAUUAGGAGGAACACCAGUGGCGAAGGCGGCCUGCUGGACCGUAACUGACGUUGAGGCUCGAAAGCGUGGGGAGCAAACAGGAUUAGAUACCCCGGUAA
rnacentral:rRNA from 1 species